rnacentral:rRNA from 1 species
GACGAACGCUGGCGGCGUGCCUAAUACAUGCAAGUCGAACGCUUCUUUUUCACCGAACUUCGGUUCAUCGAAAAAGAGGAGUGGUGAACGGGUGAGUAACACGUGGGUAACCUGCCCAUCAGAAGGGGAUAACACUUGGAAACAGGUGCUAAUACCGUAUAAUGCUUUUUCUCGCAUGAGAGCAAGCUGAAAGGCGCUUUUGCGUCACUGAUGGAUGGACCCGCGGUGCAUUAGCUAGUUGGUGAGGUAACGGCUCACCAAGGCCACGAUGCAUAGCCGACCUGAGAGGGUGAUCGGCCACACUGGGACUGAGACACGGCCCAGACUCCUACGGGAGGCAGCAGUAGGGAAUCUUCGGCAAUGGACGAAAGUCUGACCGAGCAACGCCGCGUGAGUGAAGAAGGUUUUCGGAUCGUAAAACUCUGUUGUUAGAGAAGAACAAGGAUGAGAGUAAAAUGUCAUCCCUGACGG